AUUGAACGCUAGCGGCAGGCCUAACACAUGCAAGUCGAACGAGUGGCGGACGGGUGAGUAAUGUCUGGGAAACUGCCUGAUGGAGGGGGAUAACUACUGGAAACGGUAGCUAAUACCGCAUACCCUCAGAUGUGCCCAGAUGGGAUUAGGUUGUUGGUUGGGUAACGGCGCACCAAGGCGACGAUCCCUAGCUGGUCUGAGAGGAUGAACACCCACACGGGAACUGAGACACGGGCCAGACUCCUACGGGAGGCAGCAGUGGGGAAUAUUGCACAAUGGGCGAAAGCCUGAUGCAGCCAUGCCGCGUGUAUGAAGAAGGCCUUCGGGUUGUAAAGCACUUUCAGCGGGGAGGCGUUACCCGCAGAAGAAGCACCGGCUAACUCCGUGCCAGCAGCCGCGGUAAUAC
rnacentral:rRNA from 1 species